CUCAUAGAAACGCGAGAUGGAGUCAAGGAAAUGCAAGUUAUGACAAGUCUGGAAAUCCCAACAAGUCAAUCUGCACACACUGACACACUAUGACAAACUUUUCUUACAUCUUCAUUGUGUGGAUUAGCAGUUGUAUAGACACUAUCUCUGCACCAUCGCUACGUGAGGUCAGUGUAUCUGGCACAGUGGGUUCUACUGCUGUUCUGCCGUGUACACUUUGGAGUGCAGUCUCUCGGAUAGCGAAUAUUAGAUGGCAAAUCGAAACCGAGACUGUGUUUGAGCGACUGGGUGAGGAGGUAUAUCAGGGUGAGGGAUAUGCGGGCCGUGUGGAUGUUUCUUUGGACGCGCUGCGUAAGGGAGACUGCUCCUUGGUGUUGUGUAAUCUAACACUUAAUGAUUCGGGCGUCUACACAAGCCACCAGAAAGUGAUGCUCACAAAGAGAUCUCGCUCUAUUAUGACAGUCAGUCGUGUUAAUCUCUCAGUCUCUGGUAAGUAAGGUGAUGUGAGUAGUACACACACUGACUGACACACACACAAAUACACACACAUACACACCAUUAAACAAAGUUGGAAAUGAGCAAACAGGUCCUUAUGUUUUGUUAAACAGCCAGAUUUGGACUUUUUGUGUUUCUGCACAACUAUAGCCCUCCAAAGUUGUUUAAUCUAUCCAUCAAUUAUUUGUACCACUUACUGUA